GACGAACCGUGCGAACGUUGUUCGGAAUCACUGGGCUUAAAGGGCGCGUAGGCGGGUUUGCAAGUCUGCGGUGAAAGCCUCCAGCUUAACUGGAGAAGUGCCGUGGAUACUGCGAAUCUUGAGGAGGGUAGGGGCGUCUGGAACGUUGGGUGGAGCGGUGAAAUGCGUUGAUAUCCAACGGAACUCCGGUGGCGAAGGCGAGGCGCUGGACCCUUUCUGACGCUGAGGCGCGAAAGCCAGGGGAGCGAACGGG
rnacentral:rRNA from 1 species